CUUCACGUUUUCGAAUAGCCACCGGUAGCUGUGGUUGCUAUGCCGCCUAAUUCAACCACGGGUUCAACGUUGUAGGUGUUCUGUGGUUUAACGUCACCAGGUCCACAUGCUUCGUUUCCAAUCAGUGCCAUCCUUGACCUUCGGACUUCCAUCCAUACAGAGUGCCAUGUUUUCACAGCUGCUGUCAUCCUGGACUUUCCACAGCAUGGCAGUGCAGAAAAAGCUGCAGAUCACAUCAACCAAGAAUGGAGGACCAGAAAAAAAAAACUCCUGCGCUGUCCCUCCCUGUCUGAACUCCAUGCGACGCCAACUGAAUGGGUGCUUCAGGAAAGAACCAGUGGAGCACAAUGGAUGAGCCCCCCAUUCCCUUCCCAGAACACAUCACCUUGGCACUCUCGUCCUUCAUCAAUAGACCGAUCUACAGCUUUUACCCUGGUGAUGUCACACGUGACCUGCCUGGCAUCACAAUGUGUGGAGAAGAGAGUGGGAAAACCCGAAAAGGAGGCAAAGUCUCUUCCACUUUGGGACAUCUGAAGACCUGGUGCUUCCCUUAUGGAGAAGCAAGUUGGUGAAGUCACCUGCA